AAAAUGACUCUCGGCAACGGAUAUCCCGGCUCUCCAUCGAUGAAGAACGUAGCGAAAUGCGAUACUUGGUGUGAAUUGCAGAAUCCCGUGAACCAUCGAGUCUUUGAACGCAAGUUGCGCCCGAAGCCAUUAGGCUUAGGGCACGUCUGCCUGGGUGUCACGCA
rnacentral:rRNA from 2 species